CGCAGUCCUGGGUCACGUGCCUGUGUUCCAUGCACAGACCGUCCAGGAGGGGAAAGGACCAGAAACAGCCUCCCUGCCCGACCCCCACCCCAUGGACCGGGAAGCUGCUACCCACCUUUCAUCUCUGAUAUGUCAUGACUUCUGAUGGACCCUUAAAGAGAGGUGGCAAGGCAAAGAAGGAAGCAGAGGCCAUGAACAGAAGGAACUGGGAAGC